rnacentral:rRNA from 1 species
UACGUGGGGUGCGAGCGUUAAUCGGAAUUACUGGGCGUAAAGCGUGCGCAGGCGGUUUUGUAAGUCUGUCGUGAAAGCCCCGGGCUUAACCUGGGAAUUGCGAUGGAGACUGCAAGGCUUGAAUCUGGCAGAGGGGGGUAGAACUCCACGUGUAGCAGUGAAAUGCGUAGAGAUGUGGAGGAACACCGAUGGCGAAGGCAGCCCCCUGGGUCAAGAUUGACGCUCAUGCACGAAAGCGUGGGGAGCAAACAGG